GACAUAGGUCGCAAACGUUAUCCGGAAUUAUUGGGCGUAAAGGAUGCGUAGAUGGUUCAGUAAGUUGCUGGUGGGAAAUCGAGGCCCAACCUCGUGGAAGUCAGUAAUACUGUUGAACUUGAGUGCAGGAGAGGUUAACGGAACUUUUAUGUGGAGCGGUAAAAUGCAUAGAUAUAUGAAAGAACAUCAAUAAUGGCGAAAGGCAGUUAACUAUUCUGCUACUGACGUUUGAGGCAUGAAAAGCGUGGGGGAGCAAAAACGGGA
rnacentral:rRNA from 1 species